rnacentral:lncRNA from 1 species
AGCCGCCGCCGCCGUUUUCCCCGGUAUGGACGAACAGCGGGCGAGGUCUUUUAUGCCUUUCGCGGGAAGGUCAACAAACGGUGAGAAGCUAUCGAAAACGACCUGUUUUACCACAUUUCCAGGCCACUUGACCCACGGGGACCUGACUUUGCAACAUUCGUCGGGGGCGCUGCAAAAAGCUUAGCUUCUCGGAAACUCAGGCCUGCCUGUGUCUCUCAAGGAUGGACAGAGGUGGUUGUGGACUUAAAGACCCUUUGAUGUAAGGGAUAGAGAGAAGCUAAGUGAGCGCACCCAUCUCUGAGCAUUUCAACCGCGAGGGAAUCCGAGCAAAGUAACAAUAAGAUACAACUAAUAUCCUAGGAAUGCUGUUGGUUUACAGUGUUCUGUCAAUUUUCUCCUGUACUGUCGGGAGCCAUAAGGCUGCUCCAGUAAAGAAAGCAAAGCCACAGUCGGCACCUGCAUGAGGCUUGUCUGGUUAGCAGAGCUACAGACAAGCUGAAGAAAGAAGAAGGAUUGCGGAUGCGUGAGGCUUGUCUGGUUAGCAGAGCUACAGACAAGCUGAAGAAAGAAGAAGGAUUGCAGAGCAAUCCCUUGAAAGACAUCGGCUCCAGGAAAAUAAAAAUGAUAUCCCCUAAAAAAUAUGUUAAUCUAUUUUUCUGUGUUUAUCCUUCUUUUUCUAUCUCUAUUCACAGCUUUCUUACUGCUAAAGAUUUGCCCUGGGUACGUAAAACACUUGAACCAAAACAGAAUGAAGUUAUUUAAACAAUGUAAUGGAAAAAGCCUUUGUUUUGGAGUAACAAUUUAUGGCACCUAUUUUGUGAGAGUAUACAGGGGAAACUUAUGAUUUCAGUCCCUUUACUUAAAAAGAAGUUUGGGGCUGGGAAAAUGUUGUUUGGCCUAUAAAUUGCUAUUUUCUAUAAUAGAUAUAUUUUUUAACAGUGUCACUUGUAACUUUCAUCCCUUGUGGGGGCAUUUGUUAAUUUUUGGGUAUAAUACUCCUUUCUAUUGAAAUUGGUGGUUUGGAACUUACGUAAAUCAGCACAAUAGGUUAAAUGCUUAGCUUGCUGGCGCCAAAUAAAUCGUGGUUUUAAGAAUGUCAUGAGCCCAAGGCUUUCAUGCGUUUUGUUAACUACAUACACCUUUAGUUAAAGAAUGUUAGGUAUCAUAGUUUAUUACUUAUUAAAGCUUUGUUCUUAAUAUAGAAUAGAAUAGCUACUGUUGUUGACCUUUUAAGAAAAAUACAGUGUGAAACUUUAAGUUUGUAAUCUUGAAGGAAAAUCUAAAGUUGAAAGGAACAUGUUUUAACUAACCUUUUUUUGUAUCUCGGGUGGAGGGAACAAAAGGGCUUUAAAUCAAAUGUUAAUGUCAAAUCUUACACGAAACCUGAUUGUGAUAGGGUAUAAAAACUGAUGCUUUUCAUUUAAUAAAUUGGGUCAUCUGCAGCAUGCA